GACGAACGCUGGCGGCGUGCUUAACACAUGCAAGUCGAACGGAAAGGCCCCUUUGGGGGUACUCGAGUGGCGAACGGGUGAGUAACACUUGAGUAACCUGCCCUUGACUUCGGGAUAACUUCAGGAAACUGGGGCUAAUACCGGAUAGGAAUCCUUGCUGCAUGGUGGGGGUUGGAAAGCUUCGGCGGUUUUGGAUGGACUCGCGGCUUAUCAGCUUGUUGGUGGGGUAGUGGCUUACCAAGGCUUUGACGGGUAGCCGGCCUGAGAGGGCGACCGGCCACAUUGGGACUGAGAUACGGCCCAGACUCCUACGGGAGGCAGCAGUGGGGAAUAUUGCACAAUGGGCGGAAGCCUGAUGCAGCAACGCCGCGUGCGGGAUGACGGCCUUCGGGUUGUAAACCGCUUUCAGCAGGGGCGAAGCUUGUGGUGACGGUACCUGCAGAAGAAGCACCGGCUAACUACGUG
rnacentral:rRNA from 1 species